UGCAAAGAUCAAUAAAGUUAUUAGAAAUGACAACAUAGAAUUUUGACCAAUCACAUGCUAACAGACACUAUAAAUAUAUGCCCAAAUAAGGAAAACGCCAUUGCCAUGAUGCGUGCUGCACCUUUCACCAGGCGGGAGCUCCGCGUCCUGGUUGCGGUGAUGGACCGCCGCGUAGGCCGCGUUGGGCGCUUCAUCCCAAAUCGGGUUAAGCGCGAGGCCUACGCGGAGGUCCGCCGCCUGCUGCGGACUCGCGUCCGCAGCAGGCGGACAAUCAUCCAACUAGAGAGGAGGUGGAGUGAUCUCCGCAGGAGGACUCCAGAGCUGUUGGCGGAGAUCCGCCAGCAAAUACGGGCAAUGCAUACACGAAGACGACAACAACGGCAGACCUCUCAGCCCCCUUCCCCUUCCCAGUCCCCCUCCCCUUCUCACUCCCCCUCCCCUUCCCAGUCCCACUCCCCUUCCCAGUCCCCCUCCCCUUCCCAGUCCCCCUCAGCUUCCCAGUCCCCCUCAGCUUCCCAGUCCCCCUCAGCUUCCCAGGCCCACUCCACUUUCCACUCCCCUUCUCACCCCACCUCUCCAUCUCUUUCUGUGACCCCUUCUCCUCCUUCCCAUACCCCUUCUCCUUCAACUUCAAACUCACCUUCUCAGCCCCCCUCACCCUCUAUUGGCUUAACUUUCUCUCCGCCCCCUCGCCCUCUCAAUCAGACCCACCCUCUGAAAUUACAUCCCCAAUCCAGCCUCCUUCCCCCAUCCAGCCUCCUUCCCCCAUCCCUCCUCCUUCCCCAAUCCCUCCUCCUUCCCCAAUCCCUCCUCCUUCCCCCAUCCAGCCGCCUUCCCCCAUCCAGCCGCCUUCCCCACCCAGUGAGUGGGCAGAAGAAGCCCCUGAUGAAAUAUCUGGCAACCAUCAUGUUGCAGAGGAAAAUGUUGCCGUUGGAGAUCCCACAUCUUUUGCGGCCAUUCUUGGGGACAUGAGGCUACAUCUACAGGCCUUGCUGGGUCUUGUUGACC